rnacentral:ribozyme from 1 species
UGCCCAGCAACUUCUAUCCCUACCUCCUCGUGGUACUGGCCGGGGUACGAGUAACCUUGGGGAAGAUCGGGUAACCAACCCCCGGUGGGAACUUUAGUCGUAUGCUGACAGGGAAGG